rnacentral:rRNA from 1 species
UACGUAGGAUCCUAGCGUUGUCCGGAUUUACUGGGUGUAAAGGGUGCGUAGGCGGUCUUUUAAGUCGGGGGUGAAAUCCUGGAGCUCAACUCCAGAACUGCCUUCGAUACUGGAAGACUUGAGUCCGGGAGAGGUGAGUGGAACUGCGAGUGUAGAGGUGAAAUUCGUAGAUAUUUGCAAGAACACCGGCGGCGAAGGCGGCCCUCUGGAUCGUUGCUGACGCUGAUACGCGAAAGCGUGGGGAGCAAACAGG